ensembl:lincRNA
GAAGAGACCCGGAUGUCGCGGGGCAGGAACUGCGCCGAGAAGCUGCCGGCGGGGGGAGGGGCGCCCCCAGAAUGACGUCACUGCCCAACCCCUGCUUCUCUGGAAGGCCUCGGGAAGCGGACCAGAGGGAAGCGUCAGGAUCCCGGAUUGGAACCAAGAUCGGAGCUUUCACGCUCUGACGCCGGGGCCUGGGCACGGCCGUAUGGAGACCCACGGGUGGACAGCUGCCCCGAACCUGGCGAUGAGAGGGCGGGAUCGGGGCCCCCUGCUUGCGCACAUUCCGCGCCCAGGAACGUGGAUCGGUGCCCAGGAGGCUGCUACACUUCCCCAGGGGUGAUCCACGCGGGUGCAGCCGUACACCUAGGUCGCGCACUCCGCUACGUGGGAGGACACUGGCCGGAGCCCCCGAACUCCCGACGGGUUUGCCUAUGGGGCGCGUGGGAUCCCACAGUGUAUUUAUUUGGACGUUAAACAGUCACGUGAUUCUGUCAUGGGGACUCUCCAGCGAUCUCCAGAGGUUAAUGGAACCGAGGAUAUUUUCAACGUCUGGAGGACGAGUGGAGACGUAACCGCCGCUUCUACUAAGAACCGCGGACGACGAGCUGAACUUCACGAAACUGCACGCGCGGCCACGGGGAUACAGUUCAGCUCACUAGACUGCAGCACGCCCCGCCCCCGCGGACGCGGGGGCUGAAGGACGGAGCCUGCGCGGCCAAUGAAUGGGGGCCGGGAAGCAGUGCGUCACCAACUCGGCUUCCCAUUGGCCGCAGCGCGCUUUCCUCCAGCAGCUUUAACCCUCCUCGCGCCGCGCCCACAGGCACUGGAGUUUAGAAAAGAAAAAUCUGCCCUUUUAUAAGAUGUUCUGGAGAAUCUGGGUCAAUUGUAACAGAAGAGGAAGACAAAUAGAAAAUAUGAACAAAAAGAUUUGUAAGGUGUCAAUGUGCACAGACUGCCCAUCAAGCUGCACCUUCCUAUGGUUUCCUAUUUCUGCAGACUGUUUUCAAAGACAUUUCGGUCAAACAGCACAAAAAUCACCAGUUCAUCAGAGGUCACGAAGACAGUUGGUACUGAUGUACAUGUUUGUUGUUUUGUCUUCAAAGAACAUGUUAACCGAAAAGCAUGUCAGCAUUGUGUUUGGAGAGCAGCUUGAUAAAACAUCUGCACACCACCACCCUGCAACUGCUGUGUCAAACAAGCCCCUUGUUGGCUGUGUACCUUAAGGAAGUCAUUUAUACUGGUUGUAUGAACUCAAGCCACUUAAAUUAUUAGCCUCGGUCCUAUCUUACACAAAAUGCUUUCCUGCAGGAUGUACUGUGAGAAUUAGAAUAGAGCAGGCAGCUUGGAAAAUAUGACUGAAUGAUCAGCUGCCCCAGGUGCUAUCUAUCCUUUCUUCCUCACUGGCAGGUCUUGUAGUCACUAGACUUUGAAUAGUUAGGCACUUGUGCCCUCUGAAGCUCCCUUGUAGCUUAGAGAAGAGUAAAGUCAUGCAUUGCUUCCUGAUACAAAAUGUCCUCUGAACUGUAUUCUUAGGCAGUUUGUUAUGCAGACAUCAGAGUGUACUUAUACAAACUGAGAAGCUAUAGGUCCGUCACUGUACAUGGCCUUUCAGUGCCAUCAAGACAUGGUAAACACAAAGUGUACAACGCUAUUGCCAGAGUACCAUGACAUGCUAUUUCAUUGGAGAAUAUUCUAAAAUAUGAUAAAAGUACAUAAGCCAGUAACAGUUGUUUAUGAUCAGUAUCAAAUGUUUUCCACUGUACAUAAUUGUACGUGCUAUUCUUUGUGGCUGGAAGGGUGAUAGGUUUGUGCAUACCAGUAUCACCAUAAACAGGAGUAAUGUAUGCACUAGGAUUUUAUCACAGUGAUGUCACUAGGUGAUUGGAAUUUUCAGCUCUAUUACAAUCUUAUGGAAAAAACAGCAGAUACGCAGUCCUUCACCAGCUGAAAUGUCAUUAUGUGGUGCAUAACUAUGCAAAACUCCUAAUAGCAUAUGCUGGUAUAUCUCAAAUGGGUCUCAGUGUAACAGGUAUUGAUUGAUUCAUGAAGUCCUUGGGACAGUAGAGUGAAGCUAAGCUGCUGAAGUCCUGGGAUGGUCCCAUCUAGCCACCAACACCCUCAUCGAGGUAACUCUCCAUGUCAUAAAAACAUGAUAUUUCCAUUUGUAUUAUGAUGUGAAAAAAGACAGGAAAAUGCCGGGAAAAAUUUACUCCCUAAUAAAAAGACUCAUGAGAACAAAAUG